UACGAAGGGGGCUAGCGUUGUUCGGAAUUACUGGGCGUAAAGGGCGCGUAGGCGGUACUUCAAGUCAGGCGUGAAAGCCCCGGGCUCAACCUGGGAACCGCGCUUGAGACUGGAGAACUAGAGUUCGGGAGAGGAUGGUGGAAUUCCCAGUGUAGAGGUGAAAUUCGUAGAUAUUGGAAGGAACACCGGAGGCGAAAGCGGUGUACUGGGGCUGGUCUGACGCUGAGGCACGAAAGCCAGGGGAGCGAACGGG
rnacentral:rRNA from 1 species